rnacentral:rRNA from 1 species
UUAAGUUAUUAAGGGCGCACGGUGGAUGCCUUGGCACUAGAAGCCGAUGAAGGACGUUACUAACGACGAUAUGCUUUGGGGAGCUGUAAGUAAGCUUUGAUCCAGAGAUUUCCGAAUGGGGAAACCCAGCAUGAGUUAUGUCAUGUUAUCGAUAUGUGAAUACAUAGCAUAUCAGAAGGCACACCCGGAGAACUGAAACAUCUUAGUACCCGGAGGAAGAGAAAGAAAAUUCGAUUCCCUUAGUAGCGGCGAGCGAAACGGGAAGAGCCCAAACCAACAAGCUUGCUUGUUGGGGUUGUAGGGCACUCUAUACGGAGUUACAAAGGACGACAUUAGACGAAUCAUCUGGAAAGAUGAAUCAAAGAAGGUAAUAAUCCUGUAGUCGAAAAUGUUGUCUCUCUUGAGUGGAUCCUGAGUACGACGGAGCACGUGAAAUUCCGUCGGAAUCUGGGAGGACCAUCUCCUAAGGCUAAAUACUCUCUAGUGACCGAUAGUGAACCAGUACCGUGAGGGAAAGGUGAAAAGCACCCCGGAAGGGGAGUGAAAUAGAACCUGAAACCGUGUGCUUACAAGUAGUCAGAGCCCGUUAAUGGGUGAUGGCGUGCCUUUUGUAGAAUGAACCGGCGAGUUACGAUUUGAUGCAAGGUUAAGCAGUAAAUGUGGAGCCGUAGCGAAAGCGAGUCUGAAUAGGGCGUUUAGUAUUUGGUCGUAGACCCGAAACCAGGUGAUCUACCCUUGGUCAGGUUGAAGUUCAGGUAACACUGAAUGGAGGACCGAACCGACUUACGUUGAAAAGUGAGCGGAUGAACUGAGGGUAGCGGAGAAAUUCCAAUCGAACCUGGAGAUAGCUGGUUCUCUCCGAAAUAGCUUUAGGGCUAGCCUCAAGUGAUGAUUAUUGGAGGAAGGGCACUGUUUGGACGAGGGGCCCCUCUCGGGUUACCGAAUUCAGACAAACUCCGAAUGCCAAUUAAUUUAACUUGGGAGUCAGAACAUGGGAGAUAAGGACCGUGUUCGAAAGGGAAACAGCCCAGACCACCAGCUAAGGUCCCAAAAUAUAUGUUAAGUGGAAAAGGAUGUGGCGUUGCCCAGACAACUAGGAUGUUGGCUUAGAAGCAGCCAUCAUUUAAAGAGUGCGUAAUAGCUCACUAGUCGAGUGACACUGCGCCGAAAAUGUACCGGGGCUAAACAUAUUACCGAAGCUGUGGAUUGUCCUUUGGACAAUGGUAGGAGAGCGUUCUAAGGGCGUUGAAGCAUGAUCGUAAGGACAUGUGGAGCGCUUAGAAGUGAGAAUGCCGGUGUGAGUAGCGAAAGACGGGUGAGAAUCCCGUCCACCGAUUGACUAAGGUUUCCAGAGGAAGGCUCGUCCGCUCUGGGUUAGUCGGGUCCUAAGCUGAGGCCGACAGGCGUAGGCGAUGGAUAACAGGUUGAUAUUCCUGUACCACCUAUAAUCGUUUUAAUCGAUGGGGGGACGCAGUAGGAUAGGCGAAGCGUGCGAUUGGAUUGCACGUCUAAGCAGUAAGGCUGAGUAUUAGGCAAAUCCGGUACUCAUUAAGGCUGAGCUGUGAUGGGGAGAAGACAUUGUGUCUUCGAGUCGUUGAUUUCACACUGCCGAGAAAAGCCUCUAGAUAGAAAAUAGGUGCCCGUACCGCAAACCGACACAGGUAGUCAAGAUGAGAAUUCUAAGGUGAGCGAGCGAACUCUCGUUAAGGAACUCGGCAAAAUGACCCCGUAACUUCGGGAGAAGGGGUGCUCUUUAGGGUUAACGCCCAGAAGAGCCGCAGUGAAUAGGCCCAAGCGACUGUUUAUCAAAAACACAGGUCUCUGCUAAACCGUAAGGUGAUGUAUAGGGGCUGACGCCUGCCCGGUGCUGGAAGGUUAAGAGGAGUGGUUAGCUUCUGCGAAGCUACGAAUCGAAGCCCCAGUAAACGGCGGCCGUAACUAUAACGGUCCUAAGGUAGCGAAAUUCCUUGUCGGGUAAGUUCCGACCCGCACGAAAGGCGUAACGAUUUGGGCACUGUCUCAACGAGAGACUCGGUGAAAUCAUAGUACCUGUGAAGAUGCAGGUUACCCGCGACAGGACAGAAAGACCCCGUGGAGCUUUACUGUAGCCUGAUAUUGAAAUUCGGCACAGCUUGUACAGGAUAGGUAGGAGCCUUUGAAACGUGAGCGCUAGCUUACGUGGAGGCGCUGGUGGGAUACUACCCUAGCUGUGUUGGCUUUCUAACCCGCACCACUUAUCGUGGUGGGAGACAGUGUCAGGCGGGCAGUUUGACUGGGGCGGUCGCCUCCUAAAAGGUAACGGAGGCGCUCAAAGGUUCCCUCAGAAUGGUUGGAAAUCAUUCAUAGAGUGUAAAGGCAUAAGGGAGCUUGACUGCGAGACCUACAAGUCGAGCAGGGUCGAAAGACGGACUUAGUGAUCCGGUGGUUCCGCAUGGAAGGGCCAUCGCUCAACGGAUAAAAGCUACCCCGGGGAUAACAGGCUUAUCUCCCCCAAGAGUUCACAUCGACGGGGAGGUUUGGCACCUCGAUGUCGGCUCAUCGCAUCCUGGGGCUGUAGUCGGUCCCAAGGGUUGGGCUGUUCGCCCAUUAAAGCGGUACGCGAGCUGGGUUCAGAACGUCGUGAGACAGUUCGGUCCCUAUCCGUCGUGGGCGUAGGAAAUUUGAGAGGAGCUGUCCUUAGUACGAGAGGACCGGGAUGGACAUACCUCUGGUGUACCAGUUGUCGUGCCAACGGCAUAGCUGGGUAGCUAUGUGUGGACGGGAUAAGUGCUGAAAGCAUCUAAGCAUGAAGCCCCCCUCAAGAUGAGAUUUCCCAACUUCGGUUAUAAGAUCCCUCAAAGAUGAUGAGGUUAAUAGGUUCGAGGUGGAAGCAUGGUGACAUGUGGAGCUGACGAAUACUAAUCGAUCGAAGACUUAAUCAA